rnacentral:lncRNA from 1 species
GUUGAGGAUUUUCUCUCACCCCUUCAGCACUGAGUUGAAAUGAGGAAGACUUUGGGAGAAGACAGAAACUGGAAGUUCCUUCUCAAUUGGACUUUACUGAGCUAGCAGGAAACAAUAUGAUUGAAAAUGAAAAUAUCUUUUGCUUCACUUCUUAUACAGCACUGAACUUGGCAGGAAAAUCAGUAGGAGUAAGUGGCGGAGGCAUGGGACUGGCAGAGAUACGGCAGCCCCUGUGGAGAGGCUGUCUACAGAUAACAUAACAAUAACAACAGGAUCUGCGGGGUUCCUGCAUGCGUGUUGGCUUCACUGGAGAAACUAAUCAAGUGGUGCAGUUUGGACACAGAGACUGACACACAGGAAGAAUACCAUGUGAAGACUGGAGUUUUGCAUAGAGAAGCCAAGGAGCUACCAGAAGCUAGGAGAAUGGCCUGGAACAGACCUUUCCUUAGUGCCUUCAGAGAGAGCAUGGCGCUGCCAACAUCUUGAUCUCAGACUUCCAGCAUCCUGAAUUGUGAGAUAAAUUUCUGCUGUUUAAACCAUAUAAUUUGUGAUACUUUGCUAUGGCAACUGUCACAGCUAUUAUAAGCACCUAACCCUUUUUUUAAUCUUUUAAGAAACUUUUUGCUUUCAUCUACUUUUUUUGUUCUGGUUAUUCCAUAUUUUACUUUAAGAUUUAGUCUUCUGUCAAUAAAGCAAUAAUUUCAGAUCAAUUUCAAUAAAAAAUUAAUAAUGUCCAAACA